AUUGAACGCUGGCGGCAGGCCUAACACAUGCAAGUCGAGCGGAUGACGGGAGCUUGCUCCCGGAUUCAGCGGCGGACGGGUGAGUAAUGCCUAGGAAUCUGCCUGGUAGUGGGGGACAACGUUUCGAAAGGAACGCUAAUACCGCAUACGUCCUACGGGAGAAAGCAGGGGACCUUCGGGCCUUGCGCUAUCAGAUGAGCCUAGGUCGGAUUAGCUAGUUGGUGAGGUAAUGGCUCACCAAGGCGACGAUCCGUAACUGGUCUGAGAGGAUGAUCAGUCACGCUGGAACUGAGACACGGUCCAGACUCCUACGGGAGGCAGCAGUGGGGAGAAUUGGACAAUGGGCGAAAGCCUGAUCCAGCUAUGCCGCGUGUGUGAAGAAGGUCUUCGGAUUGUAAAGCACUUUAAGUUGGGAGGAAGGGCAGUAAGCGAAUACCUUGCUGUUUUGACGUUACCGACAGAAUAAGCACCGGCUAACUCUGUGCCAGCCGCCGCGGUAACAC
rnacentral:rRNA from 1 species